rnacentral:lncRNA from 1 species
GCGGAAGGUCGCAGGCCCCCGCGGUCCCGGAACUCUGCGCUCCGCGUCCCGCCCCGUCCCCAUGCCCUGGCCCCCUUUCCGGCCGGCGCAGACCCUCUUCAGCGGCUGGGCUGCCCUUCACUUCCGCCGGGCGUUGCUGAGCGCGCUGCCCGCGAGAUGCGGGCCCCUGAGGUAGGAAGCCGGCUGGGACCCGCGGGUCCGGGCGGCCUUCUGGUCCCGCGAACUCUUGCGCCCCGCACGCCCCUGGCGUCCGAGCUUUGGGCUCCGGCUCCCGGCCGUCCCUCCGGGUCUCUGAGGCGGUGCCACCGGUCGGGCGCCGGGAUUGAGCCAGUGGAGCUGUGCGGGCCUCGGGGAGCCGCGCCGGCCGCCCCGGGACUGCGCGCCGGCUCUCCCAGGGCGGCCGACCGGGCCUCGGGGCGGGCUGCGGCUCGGGCGGGCGCGCGCGCACUGCUGUCACGGCCAGAGGUGGCCCCGCGUCUCUGCAGGUGGAAUAGUUUCCCACCUUGUAAUGUGCGGCUCGGCUGUGCUUCACCGACUCCUGUCAGAGACCUAGUCAGGGCCGUGGGGUUUCCGGUGGGUGACAGUUGUGUGUGAUCCACGGUCUCCAAGCCUACUUUGCAUGAUGUCCGUGGGUGGGCGAGGGCCGCUGGCAGGGAGCAAGGCCAGAGGUCAACUUUGAAAGCCACAGGGAUUUGCAUCACUUUAAAAAACUAACUUCAUAUUUUUAAUAUUUACUGGCUUUGUUUGUGUGUAAGGUAGAGGUCAGUAGAGAAAUUGGGGAUGCGUUUCUCUCCUCCAGAUGAAUCCAGGGAUCGUUCCUAGCCGAUCAGUCAAGUACCCAGGUUUUUUGACUUUUACCCGCUAGCCAUUUUUGUGGGCCCAACUCUCUGAAGCUCUCUUUUUUUUUUCUUUUUUUUUCUUUUUUUUUGGUUUUUUGAGACAGGGUUUCUCUGUACAGCCCUGGCUGUCCUGGAACUCACUUUGUAGACCAGGCUGGCCUUGAACUCAAAAAUCCGCCUGCCUCUGUCUCCCAAGUGCUAGGAUUAAAGGCGUGCGCCACCACGCCCGGCUCUGAAACUCUCUUGAUACCUCCUAAUGCACCUGUUGAAAAAAUAAAAAUCUGCAGUCGGGCUGGAGAGAUGACUCAGUGAUUAAGAGCACUUCCAGAGGUUCUGAGUUCAAUUCCCAGCAACCACAUGGUGGCUCACAGCCAUCUGUAAUGGGAUACCCUCUUAACGGUGUGCAUGAAAACAGUGUACUCAUAUACAGUAAAUAAAUAAAAGGAAAAUCUGCAGUCUGGACCAGUUGGGUCACAAUGUCCAGCAGGUUCUGUCCUUCCUUCCCCAUUCGUUCAUCCAUCCAUCCAUUUUAACAUAGAGUCUCACUAGUAACCCUGGUUUACCUGGAAGGCAGAGAGUCACCACACAGGCCUUCGGUUGGUAAGCAAGUGUCCUGUGGGGUUCUGUUGUGUGGGGGAGUGUGGCCGUCCACCUGUCUUUUUGACCAGCAACCCAUCUGUGGUUAAAGCCAAACAGAAGAAACUCUGGAGUCACUUCAGUGCUGCCCCUUUGCUGGGGUUGAUUUAAGAGGAGCCCAACAGAAACAGCCUGGGUUGUUUGGCAGAAGUUGUUUUAACUGAGAGUUUUACAGUUACUCUCAAGGACUUUUUAAAGGGUGUCCAUUGCUUUAAGCUUACUGCCUUUUAUCUUCUGCAUCUCCGGUGUCACUGGCGUGAUUACCCUCGUUGCUGUUGAGGUUUCUUUGGCUUUGACAUUCAGCCUGCUGGAGAAGACUCCAGAGCCUCCCUUUGCUUCUUGCUAUUUGGUUUAAUCCCUUCUGCUCUCACCUAGUCACUGUUGUAGGUCAAGAUGAACACUAAACCAACAGUCUGUCAGGCUGGGCUUUUGACAUGGUUUAUUUCCUCCUGAAACUCAUCUGUUGCUGUUUCUUCUGCCAUGUCUUCCUGCUAAGGGGUGAGUCUUAGCGUUCUUUCCCACGGUUGUAUUAUCUUUUCUCGUCUAGUUUUCUUUGAAAGGGCUGCAUAGCGUAGAAACAGAUAAUGACUAUGCUAAUGAUGACUGACUGAAGAUGAUGGGUUCUCUGGAGUAACUGGUCCUUUCAUCACCAGCUGUACAUGACCAAGAUGCCAGGACAUUCAUGGUCUUCAAAGAUCAACCUGGGCCAAUGGCUCUGGAGUUUGUUGUCUCAUGCCAGUGAAAACUAGGAGACAAGACCUCUAGUGGGAACAAGCAAAAAAACCC